rnacentral:rRNA from 1 species
UACGUAGGGUGCAAGCGUUAUCCGGAAUUAUUGGGCGUAAAGAGCUCGUAGGCGGUUUGUCGCGUCUGCCGUGAAAGUCCGGGGCUCAACUCCGGAUCUGCGGUGGGUACGGGCAGACUAGAGUGAUGUAGGGGAGACUGGAAUUCCUGGUGUAGCGGUGAAAUGCGCAGAUAUCAGGAGGAACACCGAUGGCGAAGGCAGGUCUCUGGGCAUUAACUGACGCUGAGGAGCGAAAAGCAUGGGGGAGCGAACAGG